rnacentral:rRNA from 1 species
GAUGAACGCUAGCGGCGUGCUUAAUGCAUGCAAGUCGAACGAUAAACCCUUCGGGGUCGAAAGUGGCGAACGGGUGAGUAAUGCGUUGGUGACCUGCCUUGUAGUGGGGGACAACCGCUGGAAACGGUGGCUAAUACCCCAGAUGCCAUUGUGUUUGGAAAACAAUGUCUAAAGCUACGGUGCUACAAAGAGGGGCCCAACGUCCCAUCAGCUAGUUGGUGAGGUAACGGCUCACCAAGGCAAAGACGGGUAGGGGGCGUGAGAGCGUGACCCCCCACACUGGUACUGACACACGGACCGA